ACAGGGAUUGCCCUAGUAACGGCGAGUGAAGCGGCAACAGCUCAAAUUUGAAAUCUGGCCCCCUCGGGGUCCGAGUUGUAAUUUGUAGAGGAUGCUUCUGGGUGGCCACCGGUCUAAGUCCCUUGGAACAGGGCGUCACAGAGGGUGAGAAUCCCGUACGUGACCGGCCAGGCCCCCUCCGUGAAGCUCCUUCGACGAGUCGGGUUGUUUGGGAAUGCAGCCCUAAAUGGGAGGUAAAGUUCUUCUAAAGCUAAAUACCGGCCAGAGACCGAUAGCGCACAAGUAGAGUGAUCGAAAGAUGAAAAGCACUUUGGAAAGAGAGUCAAACAGCACGUGAAAUUGUUGAAAGGGAAGCGCUUGCAAUCAGUCUCGACGGCGGCCGUUCGGCCCUUCUUCUGAGGGGUUUACUCGGCCGCCGCCGGGCCAGCAUCGGUUCUGGCGGUCGGACAAAGGUGACGGGAACGUAGCUCCCCCGGGAGUGUUAUAGCCCGUCUCGCAAUACGACCAGCCGGGACCGAGGUCCGCGCUUCGGCUAGGAUGCUGGCGAAAUGGUUGUAAGCGGCCCGU
rnacentral:rRNA from 1 species